GUUUGAAGCCCGGUUUAGAGACUUUUCCCGCUUGAGUCACUAUGCGGGGAACCUACUUACCACCAGCAGAGAUCGAUGUAAGCAGUUUGAAGCCCGGUUUAAGGAUGCAAGUAGUGGGGUUCAGACAUGAAAACUUCUCUAAGCUGAUAUCUCAAGCACUGGAACUAGAAAGAAUUGAAUUGGAAGAGGCACCUAAAAAGGGUUUAAAAGAGAGAGAAAACUGGAAAGACUACUGA
rnacentral:misc_RNA from 1 species